GCCUUUUUAGCUCAGUUGGUAGAGCACCCGCCUUGUAAGCGGAAGGUCCUGGGUUCGAUUCCCAGAGGGGGCA
rfam:Blastocystis hominis, Singapore isolate B (sub-type 7) whole genome shotgun sequence assembly, scaffold_8